GCCGGGUGUGGUGGUGCAUGCCUGUAAUCCCAGCGGCUCGGGAGGCUGAGGCAGGAGGAUUGCGAGUUCAAAGCCAGCCUUAGCAACAUCGAGGCACAAAGCAACUCAGUGAGACCCUGUCUCUA
rnacentral:sRNA from 1 species